GACGAACGCUGGCGGCGUGCUUAACACAUGCAAGUCGAACGGAAAGGCCUCUUUCGGGGGGUACUCGAGUGGCGAACGGGUGAGUAACACGUGAGUAACCUGCCCUUGACUUUGGGAUAACUUCAGGAAACUGGGGCUAAUACCGGAUAGGAGCUCCUGCUGCAUGGUGGGGGUUGGAAAGUUUCGGCGGUUGGGGAUGGACUCGCGGCUUGUCAGCUUGUUGGUGGGGUAGUGGCUUACCAAGGGUUUGACGGGUAGCCGGCCUGAGAGGGUGACCGGCCACAUGGGGACUGAGCUACGGCCCAGACUCCUACGGGAGGCAGCAGUGGGGAAUAUUGCACAAUGGGUGGAAGCCUGAUGCAGCAACGCCGUGUGCGGGAUGACGGCCUUCGGGUUGUAAACCGCUUUCGCUCAUGACGAAGCUUUGUGUGACGGUAGUGGGUAAAGAAGCACCGGCUAACUACGUG
rnacentral:rRNA from 1 species